UACGAAGGGGGCUAGCGUUGUUCGGAAUUACUGGGCGUAAAGGGCGCGUAGGCGGUCCGCUAAGUUCGGCGUGAAAUCCCCUGGCUCAACUGGGGAACGGCGCUGGAUACUGGUGGACUCGAGUACCGGAGAGGAGAGUGGAAUUCCUGGUGUAGCGGUGAAAUGCGUAGAUAUCAGGAGGAACACCGGCUGGCGAAGGCGGCUCUCUGGGACGGAUACU
rnacentral:rRNA from 1 species